rnacentral:rRNA from 1 species
UACGUAGGUGGCGAGCGUUGUCCGGAUUUACUGGGCGUAAAGAGCGCGCAGGCGGUCGUACAAGUCGCGUGUGAAAGCCCCCCGGCUCAACUGGGGAGGGUCACGCGAUACUGUUCGACUCGAAGGCAGGAGAGGGAAGCGGAAUUCCCGGUGUAGUGGUGAAAUGCGUAGAUAUCGGGGAGGAACACCAGUGGCGAAGGCGGCUUCCUGGCCUGUUCUUGACGCUGAGGGCGCGAAAAGCUAGGGUA